UGUAAGCGUAUACCAAAGUUGUUGCAGUUAAAACGCUCGUAGUCGGACUUUGGCAGUUCCGGAUGUGUGCACGUCGUGUGCGCACUUCGCGGGGAUUGCUUUUGUGGUCUUGCGUAGGAUGAGGCACUUUUAUUAGUGAACGUCCUCACGCAACCACUUUUUACUGUGAGAAAAUCAGAGUGCUCAAAGCAGGCAUUUGCCGUGAAUGUAUUAGCAUGGAAUAAUAGAGUAGGACUUGGUUCUAUUUUGUUGGUUUGUUGGGACUGAGUAAUGAUUAAGAGGGACAGUUGGGGGCAUUUGUAUUUCGGUGCUAGAGGUGAAAUUCUUAGAUUACCGAAAGACAAACUGCUGCGAAAGCGUCUGCCAAGGAUGUUUUCAUUGA
rnacentral:rRNA from 1 species